rnacentral:lncRNA from 1 species
GGUCCUUGGUCGGUGUGGCAUCCCAAACUUAAUACGACAAUUUUCGAAGUUUGCUGUGGUUUUUAUCGUUGCUUGCAUCGGAAGGGGGUUAUCAUGCAGCAAGAACGGUCUAUAAAGGUCAAAUGAGUAGAGAGAGAAAAUACGGAGACACCUUAAACGCAAAUCCUCAAUUCCCAAAUUUUCGUCCGUGGUGAAAAGCACCGAAGUAAGUCA